CGCGUAGGCGGACAGUUUAGUCAGAGGUGAAAGCCCAGGGCUCAACCCUGGAAUUGCCUUUGAUACUGGCUGUCUUGAGUACGGGAGAGGUGUGUGGAACUCCGAGUGUAGAGGUGAAAUUCGUAGAUAUUCGGAAGAACACCAGUGGCGAAGGCGACACACUGGCCCGUUACUGACGCUGAGGCGCGAAAGCGUGGGGAGCAAACAGGAUUAGAUACCCUGGUAGUCCACGCCGUAAACGAUGAGUGCUAGUUGUCGGCAUGCAUGCAUGUCGGUGACGCAGCUAACGCAUUAAGCACUCCGCCUGGGGAGUACGGUCGCAAGAUUAAA
rnacentral:rRNA from 1 species